rnacentral:sRNA from 2 species
UAGUUCUGAUUUUAUAUAGUGUUUAGUAAAUUAGUCACUUUACACUGUUUAUAUUAUAAAUCUAAUCUCAGAUCAUAUUUUACUAAUAAAUUAAUGAUUCUGAUUCUAUUUGAUUUCAUUUUACAAAAUGAAAUCAAAUGAGACUAUGAUUUACUCUAUAUAGAUUAGCAGUGAUAGGUAGAUUGACAGCAAUAGAUUAGCAGUAAUAGAUUAGCAGCAAUAGAUUAGCAGUAAUAGAUUAGCAGUGAUAGAUUAGCAGUGAUAGAUUAGCAGUGAUAGAUAGAUUGACAGUGGUAGAUAGAUUGACAGUGAUAGAUUAGCAGUAAUAGAUUGACAGCAAUAGAUUAGCAGCAAUAGAUUAGCAGCAAUAGAUUAGCAGCAGUAGAUAGAUUGACAGCGGUAGAU